CGCACAUUGCGCCCAUUAGUAUUCUAGUGGGCAUGCCUGUUCGAGCGUCAUUUCAACCCCUAAGCACAGCUUAUUGUUGGGCGUCUACGUCUGUAGUGCCUCAAAGACAUUGGCGGAGCGGCAGCAGUCCUCUGAGCGUAGUAAUUCUUUAUCUCGCUUCUGUUAGGCGCUGCCCCCCCGGCCGUAAAACCCCCAAUUUUUUCUGGUUGACCUCGGAUCAGGUAGGAAUACCCGCUGAACUUAA
rnacentral:misc_RNA from 1 species